CACACCCAAAAUAAUCUGCACGUAGCGGCUACGUGAAAAAACUACAUAGUUUUUAUCCAAUUGAUUUUCUCGUAGAUGCUACACCCAAAAUAAUUUAGAAAUUAAUUAUACGGGAUUUUUAACGUAAACUAAGUCUUUGUGGCGUCCCAUCGAUUCUACGUGUGCUUCGUAGUAGAUACUGUACUUCCAUGCAACUGACAAAUGAAUUUCACGUAAAGUCUAGGUGGAUGAGUUUGAACACUUUUUUUUGCAAUUUUCUCAAGCCUGUGCUCAAGAGCAUUCGUACCGGAAAACGAGCAGUACACAGGACGUCCUUCGGGUCCCAAACAUGAGAAAUACAAAUCCGAGCUUCGGGAGCAAGGUGGUGAGUGUAAAUUCUUUAACCUGUUGAAAUUUGAGCUUUGGUCUGUGUUGUUUCCAGCUUAGGGGAAAGCUUCAAGACACCCGUCGAGAAGGAAAGGCACCACAUCUGCAUCUAGUCAAGCGGCCUGGAUGGAAGUUAGUGUCUGCUGAUUCUAACAAGGAUUAAAUGAUUGACGAACCAGCCCGAGGCUGAAAGUCUCUGCACGCUCGUUUUUUUAUAACCAUUAUUGAAAUUUUUUCAACCGUUUUUUGGUUUUCUUUCGAAAACUUUGAUAAUUGUUGUUUUUCAACCAAAAUUAACUAUUGAAUUUUAACCAUUUUCUAAGUUCUUGUUGAAAACCAAAAAAAUGGUUGAAAUUUCCGUAACAACAGAAAUGAAUUGGUUGUUUUUAGUGAGCGUUCCGCCAUUGUUUUUUCGAUUCGCUAGUGCGAAAAUUUUUUUGGUGCAAAUUAAUCUGUAAAUUCAAUCGCCACGGUAUCGAUGAUGGCAAUCCCAUGGACAAUUCCGGCGAAUGGGGGAAACAUCCAGACUUUCUGGUGGAAGCUGCCUCCUGAGAACCAAUAUGCAGCAGUUGAAUAUAUAUUGACCGCAUCGAGUAAUUGCAGCCGGAUGAGCCAAUAGGAUGAGAUAUCUGAAGCAAUUUCCGCAAUCAGCAAUGUACCAGUUGUUGAUUUCAUCUACCUUCCGGACGGCGGAACAGGAAAACAUUCAGGCUAGUAGGCAUUCGCUUGCGCAAUCCUACAAAAGUUUUAUCCGGAAGAUUGUUCAUCAGACCAAACCGGAUUAAAUAUCUAUUAUAGUUGAUGUAUUCAACAGAAUAUAGUUUAUUAUAAAAUACAAUUUAAAAAAAAAACAUUAAAAACCGCAUAUCUCCUUUAGUCCUUGAUUCUUUUAUAUUGAAUUCUCCCAUUUUAGCUGCAGUGAAACGAACCUUGCUUGAUUUUGUAGGAAAACGGUUAUUUUAUAACCGUUUUUUCAGUUUUAACAAACGGUUGAAAAAUAACCAUAAUCCAAG